rnacentral:rRNA from 1 species
ACGAACUGUCCUAACGUUGUUCGGAAUCACUGGGCUUAAAGGGCGCGUAGGCGGUCCGACAAGUCAGGGGUGAAAUCCUGCAGCUUAACUGCAGAAGUGCCUUUGAUACUGUCGGUCUUGAGGGAGAUAGGGGUGUGCGGAACUCACAGUGGAGCGGUGAAAUGCGUUGAUAUUGUGAGGAACGCCGGAGGCGAAAGCGGCGCACUGGAUCUCUUCUGACGCUGAGGCGCGAAAGCUAGGGGAGCAAACAGGA